ensembl:lncRNA
CUCUAGGAGUGCUGAGGAAGAUCUGUGCUAGUAGAAUCAAAUUGGUGUGUUUAUUUCUCUGUCUCCCUCUGUUAAAAGCAAGAAAUUAAAUGAGCCUGAUCAUACCUGAGAUUCUGGAUGCCUAAAAUUUCACUGAAAAUGUUGAAAGAAAGGGGACUGUUAAACAACUUCACUUCUCAACAUUUGUAUUGCCUGAGAUAUGAUGACAGCUGUGAAGUUGAUCCAUGGGUAAAGGUCUAUCCCAUUCUUCAUGAGCCCACUGAGGUUGGCUGGGCAUGUGCUCUCAGUGCUUGUUUUCCCAGUACUCCUUUUGAAGGUCAGCACGAUAGCACUGUCUCUCUGUGCUUAGGGAGAGGCCUGUCCCGUACAUCCCGUGCUCCCGCAAGACGCCUACUACAACACUACCAAGACUGGCCUUCUUGCACCUGGAACAUCAUUCCAGAUGUGUAGCGUCCUACAAUGAGCUGGCACAGCUUUUCUGCUCCAUGUGCUGGUCUGAAAGUGUGAAUCAUGGAAUAUUCUCCGGAGGUGUUGCUGAGAAAUUGGAAAAACAAAAGAUUUUGGCCCCUUCAAGGAUGUGCUUGGAUUCUCUGUUUGGAUUUAACAAAUUUGCUUCUCUGAAGUUUGCUCAUCUGAACAGCAGCUGUUUGCCAUAUGGAUCAAAACUGCAAAUGAAAUCAUUUCCUCAUGCCCAUCUUAUUUUCAUAUGCAGUCAUAUAUCUGAAUGUUUAAGUCUGUGGAUCUAAUGAGGGUGGUUAAGCUGAGAACUGUUUAUUUUGAAUUCCAGUUUUCCUCUUUUUUUUUCUUUCUUUUUUUUUUUUUUUUUUCCCCUAAUAGGGUUUUUCUCCUUCAGGAAACAAAAUAAAACAGAACAAAAAUACAAAAACAACUAACCAAGUGCCAAAACUAUAGGUGGUGGAAUAGUGAAGGAAAAAGAAAAUCUUUAAUCUUAAUAAAAUAAACCAAAUAAAAUAUUCAUUAUGAAAUUAUGGCUCCAAGAUUCUUGUAUGUUCUUGACUACUAUCAAUAAGAUCAGUAAAUUAAUUAAGAAAAAAUGAUGAUGAUUGCCUGUUAUAAUACUAGGGCAAGUAAAAUACUGUCAGAGAAGUUCCCUGUUUACUUGUUCAUUAUUUAAGUCUAUUAAACAGGACUGUGCAAGUGUAAAGAAGAAAUACACUUUCCUUUAGUGGGUUAUAAGCCCAUGAACACGUAAUUUUUUGUAGUUGCAGGCUUCUAGUAUGGCUCAUGAAAUGCCGCCAGAGCAGAUUUAAUGCUUUUAAUGAAUAAGCAAAGGCUUACAACACCUCCUGGACAUUAUGGAUAAGUGUUGUUGCAACCAGUAACUAAAGUGUAUGAAGUUAAGAAAUUUAUUCAUGGACAUAACGCAUAUCCAGAUUUGCAUAUUAUGUUCACAUGUUCCCAUAUGGAUUCCUACACUAACAAAGCAAAUCACAGAACAUCACAGUGAUAAUAAAUACAUUAAAAUUAGGUAAAGUUUAAUUGUGUAUUUAUUUAUAACUUCAGUGCAUUGUCUUCAUGACCAUUACACUGGUAUCACUGUCCUCUUGAACUUUUGGCUCAUGACUUCUUAAUCAGAAUCAUAACUACACAGUAAAUAAUCUUCUCUUAUCAUAAGCUUGCUUUUUGUUUUGUUUUGUUUCUGUGUUGUUUUGGUUUUACACUUCUAGUUUUUUUCCUGUCUUUAACGAAGUGUCAAAAUCUGAUAUUUUGAGGAACUAACACUAAAAAUGUAUUGAAUUACAAUAAUUAAAAUGAUUCACUCUAUUUUAAUUCUUUCUUUUUCCUUCUGUUACACAUUAAUUCUGACUUUCAGUUAAAAUAGCUAGAAAAUUCUUCAAACUAGAAAGUGUCAUUUUAAAUUCUGAUAUCCGUCAAAAAGUUCAGAUUAUUAUAUCAUUUCAGAGUUCUUUAAAAAUAGAAUAAAGAGACUUCUGGAAUGUACUUUUCCUUCAGUUUUAUUUUUGUUGUCAUUCUGAUUUUAAAAUACAUGACCUACAAAUUCCCAGUCAUUUUUUAAUUGAUGUUGUGACUUGUGUUAGUAGAUUGAUUCAAUAUAUAUGUAUACUGUAUAUGUUUCAAGAGAGAAUUUAUUGAUGUUCUGAAAAUUCAAUGCAUUCAAAAUAACAUUUCAAUCAUAUGAGUGUUUCAAAUCUCCACUUUGGAACUUCUCUCUGAUGUCAUCAGCAGUAAUAAAUUCAACAAAGC